rnacentral:lncRNA from 1 species
GAGUGCUAAUUCAUUGAAAAAUCCUGAUCUCUUGUAGGGGUCAUUAGGCCCAUAAACAUCAGUUAAUAACCAUUGCGAUUGAUCCAAAAGGUCCUGACGGAGGCGAUGCAAGGAACUGAGAGAAUAAGCUCCUUGGUGGGAGGUUAGCCCUUCGACCAGAGAUGUGUUCCAAGUUGUUAGUAGGCCACUAGAUGUCCCAUUAGCAUUUAUCACACUCC